GUCUAGAUUGUGCGAAAGAAGAUAACAACUACAUUUCUUAUAUUUUUAAUAUGACAAGUAUUGUAACAAUUGAUUACAACAACAAUAAAUUAUUGUUCAGAUACUACAAAUUCAUACAACAUACAAAGCUUCAGUAAAGGAAGAAAUAGUAUCAUUCAAGGUCAGUUUCUGUGUUGUUCAUGUUGAACAGACACACAUGGACAUUUAAAGUCUUUUAUUUCAUUUAAUUUUCAUUCUUUUUAAAGUCUGAUGCAUUUUCCUGAAUAUUGAUUUUGUUCUUCAAAGGUAUCCUUGUAUAAAAUGUAAUAUUAGUAAGUAAAAAUAAUUCAAGAAUGCAGAAAAAAAAAUCAUUUAUGGAAUUCAUUAAUUAAAGUUAAUUUAAAUUUUAUGAAUAAGUUAUGACAGACUAUUGAAUUCAAGGCCAGUUAUUCUUCUAGCUGGAGUCAAAAUAUCCCAGUUUGUAGACCUUAUUCUGUCAAUGGGAAUCAAAAUUAAAAUCCUUUACUUUUAAGAAACAUUCUAAUUUACGACUCGGUGAUGAUUAAAUUGAUGCUGUUGAUAACUAGCAUAUGAUCAUUAAAGAUAUAUGAAAUAGUGUACAAAAUUGUCUACUUUAUCAUCUUUGUUUUCCUUAAAACUUUGUUUAUUUAUAAAAUAGUCAAAUUACAUGCAGAGUUAUUUAAUAGAGUUUUCUUUAAACCAUUUGCACAAUCUUUGCACACACAUAAUAUAAUAUAUUCAAAAUCAUUGUAGACAUAUGUAUCUCUUUAAAUGCUAUAAAUGCAUUUGUAUAUCAAAUUUAUAUAGAAGUUUAUCACAUCCAUUUGGGCAUCAUCUAGAUCUUUUCCUAGUUAUAUCAAUGCUUAAAUAAAGAUAACAAAAGUCUUAUACUAAUGCUAAGGUGGUUGUCUCGUCAAAUAUGCACCAGAUUGUAUUUAAGAAACAAUUCAAAGAAAAGUUUGUUAUGAAGUGGACAAGUUUGUGAAAUCUACUUAACCACAAAAAGUUGUAUGCACCAUAAUACAUGUUACAUUGUGACUUUAACUACGAAUGUAGAUUGUGUUCAAUUAAUCUUUUUUUUAUUAUUUUCAAUCAACUUGACCUAUUAGGAAUAAAUAUUUGAAAAUUCAUAUAUUUUGUUUUCAUUUUUAGAUAGGUAUAAAACUGCAGGAGUUCAAAUUUAUAGAGUCUUUAUCUAAUGUGAAAGUUCUACAUUUAUCUUGUUUUAGAGAAUAUGUUAAAAUAAUGUACAUUGGUCCUGAUAUAAUCAUGAUAAUCUUUAAAUUACAAAAAAUGGAAAAUGUAUAAUUUAAUAGAAAAAUUAACACAGAAAAACAACAAUAAAAAUGUCAAUAAAAAUUGUCCAGUUAUCAGGCAAAUUGUCCUGCUGAAAUUAUUAAAAUCACUUGUUGUACAGAGAGAACUCUGUAGCAGAUCAGCAAUUUACCAAAAAAUAAAUGCUUAUGCAAAAGAUCUUUUGUAAAUGAAAUAUUUUCCAAUUGCAAUGAUUUUUUUUAUCAUUUUUUUAAUUAUAAAAAGAACACUUUCCAAUAACUGCAUGUUAGAAAAAAACCCAUCAAUUAACAUGCAUUUCAUAGGAAGUUUUCCAUAAAUCAAUUUGAAGCACUAAAAACAUUCAACAGCACAACAAUAAUUUUUGUGCCUAUUUCUUCACUAAAACAUAUAAAAUGGUGCAGUUGAACUAUUGAAAAAUUUACAAUUUUACUUGUGUAAUUAUCUAAUAUAAAUUUCAAUUUCAAAAUUUUUGUACAUGAAAAAUAACAAAUAAAUUAAAUUUGAAAAAGAAAAUCAUUUUAUAAAGUUUAGAAUACCUCUAAAUUGUAAUAUAUAAAUGUAAAACAAUUAACUGACAAUACAAAAAUGAUUAAAUUUACAUUAUCUUAAAUAUUAAAAGAAAUAUAUGUGUAUACUGGCCAUAAAUAAAAACACAUACAACACAGAUAGCAACAGAAGAUUUUCUUACAUUUUCUAUUUUAAUGAAAAAUCUGUUACUCUUCACGCAUCUUAGUAGAGGACAGUAUUUUCUGUCUAUCUUCUUCGUAAUUCUUAGUACAUAUUUAAAACAAACACCUUCAAUAUAUUUCUAAAAAAAUCUUGGAACAAUCUAAAUACAUGAAUCAUUUUAUAAAUUUAAGUGGUGUUAUUUCUUCUUUGUUUUUGUAUAUUUUUACAUUUAUUUUUCUUAUCAUAUAUUAAGAAUACAGAAUCCAGACAUGACAUGUUUAGUCAUAACAUGCUUUUAAAUUCUAUGUCAUGUAAAAUAAAAGAUAUGUAAACUUUUGAGUUAUGACAUGCAUUCUCCUGAAUUCUGCUUCAUUCAUGCAAUGCUUAAAUAUUGAAAUUCUGACUAGAAAAAAGAAACUUUAUGCAUGCUAUGAAAAGUUGAUAGACUGGUUUAAGGAGAAAAUUCAUUUGCAUAAGUAUAAAUAAAGUAGUUGACCAUUUAAUAAUUAAAUUAUAUCUGAAAUAUUAUUUUUUUAUAUACUUUUCAAAUUGACUUUAUGUACAAAUAAUGACAUUUGACUGUAUCAUGUGUAUGUUUCAUACAAAUAAAAUAGAAAGAAAGAAAAAAAACCUUCAAAAUCAAUGUAUGGUACUUAUUUUAGAACCAUUUUUUGUAACAACUUAAAACUUCUCUUUUCAUUCAGGACAAAAAAUAAAAAAAGAAACAUUGCUCAAUGUUACCAGCUACUGAGAACAAUCUGACAGUACAUUGAAAUCAAGUCAAUGGUUGAGAAGCAAUUGCAAACAGACAAACAAAAAAACACAUCGCAAAACACUUUCGUUUCACAAAUAAAUGUU
rnacentral:lncRNA from 1 species